UUUAUUCAAUGGGAACUCCCUGAGAAGAGCGAUUGGGAUCAGCCGGCUCACCCCCUCCAAAUGCCUUCGUCUUCACCUCCUAACUCCUUUAUAUAGACUGCUCCCCUCCCUCUCUCCUUCAUGUCUUGGAUCAGGAUGUAGAGAUUGAACAGGGGAUGGUGUGGAUGGCAUAUCCGAAUGCGAACAGGAGAAAAUCUGGGAAGAUGUUGGGAUACGCGGAUGAGGAAGUUUGGAUUUGGCUGGGAUUAAGCUGGGAGAAGGUUCCGACGCGGAGAAAACUCAUGAAGUUGAGAGGAUCUCGGCUGGGAGGAUUGUUGCUGUUUCGAAACAGGGGAGGAUGGCAAGUGGGUGGCUGGGAGAUGAGUGGAUCACGGGAGGAUGAAGCUUAUCCAGGAAUACAGCCGUUGGCUGGUUAUGGAUGCAGGGGAUUCAUCCGUGCACGAUGCGGAAUGAAGAGAAGUUGAGGAGGUUUGGAAACAGUGGAUACGAUUGGGAACAGGGGAUUCGAUUUGGAUGAAGAAGGAUGCGGACGCGAGAUGAACUCGGGACGUUGGGAAAGCUGGACUCUUGAUUUUUGGAAAGAUGACUCUAAGAUGCAGGGGAUUUGGAAGAAGCUGGGAGCUGAUCCUGUGAACGGAAGAAAGCUUUGUUCUUGGAUUCGGUUCGUGGGAUUAUGGCUAAGCUUGAUUUGUGAUGAGCUGGUAGCAGGGGAUAACGAGGACGAGUUGUG
rnacentral:lncRNA from 1 species